GCGGGCCCUGCUUGGCACUGGGGGUCGGGGGGUCGGGGCGCCGCUGUUCGGGGCCCGGCUCUCGGCCCCGAGCUCGUCUGCCUCUCGCCGCCGCCGCCCCCCCGGGGCCGAGCUUGCUGUACGUGGUGCGGGGUGUCGGGGACCCUCCGGCGAGCCCACUCCUUGCCUUGAGAUCCAGGAGGUCGGAGAGCCACACUCAUGGGCUCUAUGCAAGUUUUAGGAAACACACACACACACACACACACACACACACACACACACACACACACCGGGCACACACACACACACGCAUACACAACUUACCCCUCUGCGCUCUGCAAGGAAACGAAGAGAUCUGAGAAUUUACCGGUGAGAAGAGUAUAGGAGAGAGGUGGGAAUGCAAGAGAAUUUUACACCACGUGGGAAUGGCGGUACAGGACUGCGAUCUGACGUCCUUGAAGGUGCCUCACCAAACUGAUGGUUCCUAGACCUAAAUAAAAAGAGAAUAGAGAAAUGGACGACCCAUCCAGCACCGUGGCAAAUUCAGAUGGCCCCAAAAGAGUGGAGAGGAGUAUGAGAAAAGGGAAGUCCAGACUGGACAGGCUUCGGACACCAUGUUUGCUUCCAUCUCAGUUGGCUUCUCAUCAUGAUCACGAGAUCAAUGCUUCUAUUACAACAGUCACAUGAAAAAAAAUCCAAUGUAAGAAGAGGCAUUAUUCUUCUGAAGCUCCAAAACUCUCUGCCCCUCCCGUGCUUUUGGAUAAUUUGGGUCAUAUGCCCCGUGUUGGAUUAUCUUCGGUCAGUUUGGCAUUACCACCACCCCUUCUAUGGUCUCCUUUGCUUUGGAGAGAAGCCAGGCGCUACAUUCCUCUUUAUUGUAUGGUUCCAGCCUAGAGCGUAUUCAUGAGAGGCAUCCUUGAGACAAAAUGAUGGAGAGAUCAUUAUUCUUCAGUCAGUUGCAGCCAGAAUUGUGAACAGGUUUUGAUACCCAGGGGACUCCUUAGGAAGCAUUCUGCUGGCUAAAUUUCAGCUCAGAGCCUACCUCCUCGGAAACCCAACCCAUGACAACAACUGAAUAAUACCUUUAAGUGCCGAAAUAAGUAGAACUGUCAACCCAGCAUUCUAUAUGCCGCAAAAUUGUCUUUCAAGAAUGAAGAAAAAUAAAGAUAUUUUCAGGCGGA